rnacentral:rRNA from 1 species
AACGAACGCUGGCGGCGCGUUUUAAGCAUGCAAGUCGGACGGUAGAGGGAGCUUGCUCCCUUGAGAGUGGCGAACGGGUGAGUAACACGUAGAUGAUCUGCCUUUUAAGUUGGGGAUAGCCCAUGGAAACAUGGGGUAAUACCGAAUACGUUCCUAUUAGUAAAGUGGUAGGAAGAAAGGGGCUAAGGCCCCGCUUAAAGAUGAGUCUGCGGUUCAUUAGCUAGUUGGUGGGGUAAAGGCCUACCAAGGCGACGAUGAAUAGCCGGCCUGAGAGGGUGAACGGCCACACUGGAACUGAGACACGGUCCAGACUCCUACGGGAGGCAGCAGCUAAGAAUCUUCCGCAAUGGGCGAAAGCCUGACGGAGCGACGCCGCGUGUAUGAUGAAGGCCGUGAGGUUGUAAAGUACUUUUCUCAUUGAAGAAUAA